UGGAGCCGAGUGGCUCACAUCAAGAUCAAAAAAAGCGAAAUAAGAGAGAAGAAGAAAAGAGGGAUAGAAGAGAGGGGAAUCUUGCAGCGAGUCUGGAAGGUCAAAAAAAAGGAGAGGAAGAGAAAAGAAAGACAAGCAAAAUAGAGGAAAGGAGAAGAUCUCGGCGAGAAUAGACCGGUUGCAAGGUAUUUCUGAGAAUUGGGUUUGUGGUUUUGUUCUUGAUUGUUUUGAAUCGUUUUGUGUUUUUUGUUUUUGGGUUUUUUCUUCAUUUGUUAAAUGUUUUUGGGAGGAUAGUUGUUUUUGGAUAUUUUGAAUGAACUGGAGGAUGGUAAGGUUUUGUUAUUUGGUGAAUUCAUCUGUGUAAGUGAGGGUUUUGUUUAUGAGGGUACAGCUACAUUUAGUUUGUGGUUUUGGUGAAUAGACAGUCUAGGAGGUUGAAAAAAGGAGAGGAAGAGAAUCAAGAUCAAGAUCAUACCAUUAGUUCAAAAUCGGUGAUCAAAAUCAACUACGGUGAACAGCGGUCUCUAUCAAAGUUCAAACACUGAGGUCAAAAGAGGGGCCGACGAAUUAAUUUGUCUUCGUUUUGGAAGAGGGAGAAAAGGGUCAGUGUAUUUGCGCGUUCGGGAAAUCUCCAUCAAAUGUAGCUAUCAAGCUGUGAGAUACAGGCGUAGAAGCGUAGCAUCAACUAGUUAUAGAAGUUCUUUGAAUGAAGGCCACUCAAUUGCAAUGGGCAUUGGAUGGAGGAGUUUGUGUGUGUAGUAAAGCACUGGAAUUUCUAUCUGGGAGACGAAGAAGAGGAUGAAGAGCAGCAAUAUCAUUGUUCAGAGAGCCAAAAGUUUGAGGAACAAAUUUUGUCUUCUUGGUGCCUUUUCUUGGAUACGGACUAUGAUCUGGCUUUAAAUCAUGGUCCAUUCUCAACCUGAUAAGCAACCAUUCUCUAUAAGUUCUUCCUAAAAAUCUUAUUUGUGACAUUGGUGAUUCUUUGAUGAAUGUUAAAUCUAUCAAAAAGGUAAGCAUCUUUCUGGUAGUUGAAUGUCUUUGGUUGUAAUUUCACUUGAGUUCUGCUAAAACCCUUCAAAUUUUUCUUGGUUCCAGCUCUCUCUUUCUCGCUGCCAACUUCACAGUAUACAGUCUUCACUCAAGUCAUCUGUUGAACUGAAAUGCUUAUAUAGCUGUUUUUACCCCAAUUCGUUAGUUCUUUCUACUUUGUUUGUACAAAUAAGCAUAUCUUUUGUCUUACUUUUUGUUUUGUGGAAUUUCUGAAGUGCAGGGUUUAGAAAAUCAGAUUAAGUUAUAGGUGUUCUUCAGAUUAAGUUUUUGAUUGGAUUUUUCGACUUCGGAUGACAACCCUUGCAAAUGCAAUUGAAGAGAUGUUAGAACUCAUUGGUAGAAGACUCAUCGAAGCGGCCAAAAUAAGAGCUGAAAGUUACAGUGGAGGAAUAAAACAUGACUUAAGUGUGGCAAUAGCCCUUACCCGAUGACAGAAUUUCCAUCACCUGAAGCUUUAAAACAACAGAUUAUUAUCUCAACCGAACCACCAAAAGUUGGCGAAGGUAAUGACAAGGAUUCAUCUGAAAAACUGGAAAAGGAGUGACAGUGGUAGAUAAACUGAGAACAAAACUGCAGCUGACAUCAAACCUAUCCAGUACGAACUCUGAAGCACCUAUCCAUUAUGGUGUGGAACAUAAAAAAAUUUAUGCUGGAAAAAACAUAGGAUGGUUUGGAAUAGGCUCUAGAGGUUGGUGAAAAAGUAAGACGUCUUAUUUUGAGUUCACACAGGAACAUUCUAAGGACUUACCCCAAAGAAAAUGUUGGAUGGAUGCAUGGAGCUCAAAUGGUUGUGUCUAAUAUGCAGGGAUGUGACAAAGCACGAUGGUUGAUGUAUGGGAUGUUUAGAGCCAAUGAGAAUGCGGUUACUUGAAAAAGCCUGCCUUUUUAUGCACAAGGGCUCAAAUGAUGAGGUAGCCAAUUUUUAGAGGAAGAAAGGCGGUUCUAUCCAGCAUGUCCCACCUGCUCUAAACAAAUGAGAAAAUAACCACAAAGCCAACGUCUAAUCUGCCCUUAUCACGUCAUGUAGCAGGCUGUUUAUAGUAAUAUAUAAGAGAGGGGAGUAGAGUAAGUUCUGAAAAGCAGCUCAACUGAAAUUUCAGAGGAGCUAUCAUCUAUUGCAAAUACGGAUCCGACUUUUGUCACCACUACAAGCCCAAACCAUUUGUUGUCAAGCCUGACCAUGUUUGCUAUAUGUACAUGAACACCUGCUCUCAGUAGCAUAUCUAACUUUGAAAUCUGGCCAACUUACCAGAUUUUUGAACAUGUAAAACAAUAUAUAAUAUAUAAUGUAGCAAUCUUAUAUAGACAAUGUUUCUAAAUUCA